rnacentral:rRNA from 1 species
CUGACGAGUGGCGAACGGGUGAGUAAUAUAUCGGAACGUACCCAGAAGUGGGGGAUAACGUAGCGAAAGUUACGCUAAUACCGCAUACGAUCCACGGAUGAAAGUAGGGGACCUUCGGGCCUUAUGCUUUUGGAGCGGCCGAUAUCUGAUUAGCUAGUUGGUGAGGUAAAGGCUCACCAAGGCGACGAUCAGUAGCUGGUCUGAGAGGACGACCAGCCACACUGGAACUGAGACACGGUCCAGACUCCUACGGGAGGCAGCAGUGGGGAAUUUUGGACAAUGGGCGCAAGCCUGAUCCAGCAAUGCCGCGUGAGUGAAGAAGGCCUUCGGGUUGUAAAGCUCUUUUGUCAGGGAAGAAACGGCUGUGGCUAAUAUCCACGGCUAAUGACGGUACCUGAAGAAUAAGCACCGGCUAACUACGUGCCAGCAGCCGCGGUAAUACGUAGGGUGCAAGCGUUAAUCGGAAUUACUGGGCGUAAAGCGUGCGCAGGCGGUUUUGUAAGUCUGACGUGAAAUCCCCGGGCUCAACCUGGGAAUUGCGUUGGAGACUGCAAGGCUAGAAUCUGGCAGAGGGGGGUAGAAUUCCACGUGUAGCAGUGAAAUGCGUAGAGAUGUGGAGGAACACCGAUGGCGAAGGCAGCCCCCUGGGUCAAGAUUGACGCUCAUGCACGAAAGCGUGGGGAGCAAACAGGAUUAGAUACCCUGGUAGUCCACGCCCUAAACGAUGUCUACUAGUUGUCGGGUUUUAAUUAACUUGGUAACGCAGCUAACGCGUGAAGUAGACCGCCUGGGGAGUACGGUCGCAAGAUUAAAACUCAAAGGAAUUGACGGGGACCCGCACAAGCGGUGGAUGAUGUGGAUUAAUUCGAUGCAACGCGAAAAA